ACCUGAUCACACUGCCACUGACAUAGAGGCGGUGAGAGUGAAACCACGGAAGAACGAGCGACAUCGCCAUCGCAUGAUCGAGUUACUUUUUAGGUAAUGUGUGUCGAGAUGUAUAUCGUAAUGUAGGUAAAAAGAACACAUUUUACACUAAAAUUUAAAGGAAGAUAAACACAGGUAAGAAAUAUUAAGGAUUCAACGUUUAUGUAGACAAUUUAGACAAAUAUCGUAAUGGUGAAAUUUUGGGGGAAAUACCUCAAGAAUACCGAGAAUCUGUCUGUUUUACUGGCCACAUGACAUUGAUAAUUUGUGUGGUGUAUUUGGCAGCAUACAUUGUGAUUGAAAAUAAUGGACAAAUUCCAUAAAAUUGCUGGGUAGGCUGAACUUAAAACAUGUCACUGAUCGAUGUCGGUUAAAAGAGGAAAUUAUAUAUUUUUUGGUUUAUCACUUGUUUAUUUUCAACAGAAUUGUUAAAUUGGAACAAUCGUAUGUAUCGAAACGUGUACUUGAAUAUGUAUAACAUUAUUAAGUAAAUGUAAAACAUUACAAAGUAUUAAAAAGAUUUAUAAAGAUCUUAGUAUAAAUUUUCUCACAAGUAAAAUCCAUGGAUAACCACUGUGAAGUAUGCACGACAUUCAGCAGCAAACAUUCUCAGGGUUGGUAGGCUUUCGCGCAUGCACAAAGCCAAAUGACCUUUAAAAAAAGGCCAAAUUCUACUAAAUAAGGCCAAAUUUCAUUUUUAUGAAAAAAGCCAAAAAAGAGCCAAAUCUUAUCAAUAUUUUCGACUUUGCAGUAUGUUGAUAGAUAAAAAAUUCAAAUUUUAAAGACACUUUUGUCAUUUUUCGGGACGGACCUCUGCGAAGACGUAGCUACCAUGUUGUCAUUGGUUAGUUUUUCAGCUUUACGAUUGGCUGAAUUUCCUGAGUUCUUAUUGAGUGUCAAUAAAAUUAGGUUAUCUCUGUCAACGAUACCCAAUUCUUACAUUCUUACAUGUUGCUUUAUGGUUUAACAUUCCUUCAUAAUAAAUUAUACUAAAAAAUAGUGAAAAUAUUUCCUGUCACUUGAUAAAAAAGCCAAAAUAGAGCCAAAAGGCCAAACAUUUUUUUCAAGGCCAAACAAGAAUUAAAAAUCCAAAAUCGAGUUAUUUGGCCGCAAAAAGGCUAACCUGAAGUUCAGGCCCUAAUCACAGAAUAGGGCCUGACACAAAACCUAUCUAAACCGUGGACACAGAGUAGAUAAGACAUACAGAGACGUAACUGACCGUUGUAAACACUGCGGAAGAUUACGUUAUCAUGUACCCACUUUUUUUCAGGCGACCGGGCGAAAAAUGAUCAACUGCGCGUGCUCAGCAAGU